GUGUGUGUGUGUGUGUGUGUGUGUGUGUUGGUGGCGGGGAAGAGAGGGAAACAUCAAUACUUUUCAUUUUACUCUAGGCUUCGAUUUUAACUCUGUCUCAACAGAAAGCAAGCUACAUUUUUUUUUUUUGGAAUGAUUCAAACCAUACAGUUUUGGUAGAGCAUCAUGUUCCCCCUCCCCCAUCCCCAUGAUCCACUUUCAAUGCUAUUCCUUUUAUAUCAGUGAAGACCUGGCAGCUGUAUCUGAUUCACUGCAAAAUCUAAAGAUUUAUCCAGGGUAUAAUUUUACCUCACAUUUUUGUCCUCAAGAAAAAUUUAAAGGUACUUCAAUCUGCUCAACCUUAAACACAAUUUGGGGGUGGGAGGAGGGCAUUCCCUGCCAAUCAGAAUGAAACAAAGGAUAUCAUAAAUGCUUGUUCACGUUAGAGUUCAUUUUCAGAUAGGGAGAAGGCAAUUUUUGAUUCUUUUUCUAAGUGAAUAUGAAGGGCACAUGCUCAAGAAGAGGGAGAAGGGAAUGAAAUAACAAACUAGAAAAAUAUAUUAACAUGGAUGUUUGGAAUUUGGCAAAGCAGAAGUAGCACAAUAUCAAUGUAAUUUACAAAGAUAAAUUCUCUUGGAGAUUACCUACCCUACAGACAGGGAUGGAACAGUCCUUUCCAUUUCCAACAGUCUGGGUCUGUAAUCUCCCAAGCUACCUCCUGUUAACUGUAUUUGAAAUAAUACUUGCUUCUUGGCUUACUGAGGAUGCAGAAUAGCUCAGAUAUUAAAAUACACAAAUAUACUAAAUCUUAUGUAUAUAAUAUGUGCAUGUCUCUGUGCAAUUGCUUGUCUUAACUGAAAGUAAAUUUAAAAUUAAUUUCAUUAAUAGCAACAACCUAUUAGUUUAAAAAAAGGGGGGGUUGCUUUAGAAGCAAGGAAAAAAGCUUUGUCCCUAUAAUCUUCGUUCUCAAGGAAUACAUCAUAUUUUCACCAUCACUUAACAGUCUCUUUUGUAAAGGAUGAAAACUGGAAAAAGACCUCUCUCUCCACAUGCUAAAGUUGGCACAGAAGUGAAAACACUGGCACUAUACAGAAGCCUGGGGAAGAAUCCAAGAAAACAAUUAUCAUAGGCAUUUGCAUGCUGACCCAGGAGUUCAUGCAGCACGAAGACCUUGCUAUUCUUUCCAAGAAGAAUCAUUUCCCCUUGGAAACCCAGGGGAGGCACAGAGUGGCAGAUUCCUUUCAACCAAUGUACUGGGCCAUCUGCCAUCAGGACCAUUCAAACCCUGAGAGUCACCCCUAAUCGGUAAGCAGCAGAUGCAAUAUACAGCACUCAGAAAGCUAAGACACAGAAAAUAUGGAAAGGGGAAUAUACAUUUCCGAAGAGCUUUCUGCCAAAAAGACAAGGAUAGAGAAGUAAGGGUACCUUUUGAAUUCUUCCAUCAAUAUCCAAAUAAAUUGCCUUGGGCCGCACCUGUUGAGUUCUUCCUCAAAGAGAAGCAACCUGUGCAAAGACAGAUACAGAUGGACUCUCCAUCCUGAAAAUGCUGGAAAAAUCACAUUGCUGAAAUUGUUCCAGAGCUUGGUACUUGACCCUCGUGCAUCUGAUUUGGAGUACAUAUGAUGGGAUAAUGUCAAGCACAUAUAAAUAAAUGUUAAUUGUUAUUUUUUUAUCCCCUCCACAGCAUGGAAUACAAUAUUUUUAAGUUCUUUACAUUUUUUUUCCCCUGAAGAGAUCAUUGGAUGAUACUUUUGUAGGAAAAAAAUAUUUUUUUUCCAACUGAGAUUGUCCCAUGAUUCUGCUUGACUAAUUUAAGGCCAGUUGCAUAACCAAAUGUGCAGAAGCACAGGUAGAUGAUUAACUCUAUUAAGACACAUGGAGAAUUACAUUGAAUUCCCAAUCCCUAUAUUUUUGCCUGCCUGCAUUUUAAAAAAUUUUCUUCACAGGCUAAUUGUACAAUAUUUCAGAGUGAGAUUCUUUUUGUACAGCAAAAUAAUGGUUUGGACAUGUAAAUUUAUUUUGUAUUUAAUUUAUACUUUAAUAUAUUUAACAUGUAUUGGUCAUCCUGCCAUCUGGGGAUGGGGUGGGGGGAAGGAAGGGAAAAAUUGGAACAAAAGGUUUGGCAAUUGUCAAUGCUGUAAAAUUAUCCAUGUAUAUAACUUGUAAAUAAAAAGCUAUAAUAAAAAAAAGACACAUGGAGAACAGGAUUUGAAUCUUUUUUAUAGUGUCCAAUAUAGUAACAUGCAUACAUGGUUGGUAGUAAAUUUUUGGAGGCAGAGAAUACUGAAAUUGAUCAUUAGAAGAGAUUUAAAAUUUUGGUGGUGACAUAUAGUGGAACCAUAUGUCCUUGUUAUACUAAUAUAUUGAUUCAGAGUAUGGAUUUGAAAUCACAGGAUCUAGGUUUAAAUAUUGGUUUUACUAACUUACUAUCUAUAAAACGUAAGCAAGUCACUUGGAUUUUCUUAAACUUCAGUUUUCUCAUUUAUAAAAUGAAAUAUAGGCUAGGUGGUCUGCAAAAAGCUCUUCCAACUCUGUAUUGUAUAAUCCUAUAAAUUUUCUUAUUUUCUUUCAAUUAAAUCAGAAAAUAAUUCUUAUUCUUUGGUCACUAUAGCUACCUGAAUGAUUUAGAUGCCUGCUCAAGUUUUCAGUUUUUGCUAAUAUUUUUCUUCCUAAACUGUUCGAGAAGUCCCACAUCAUUUGUCUUUGUUAUCUUUCCCUUUAUUAAAUACAGUGCCUUUCUCUUAGGGGUAAUACACUGAUAAAUGCUUGUUGAAUCUUUGUAAAUUGAUGUCUAUGAUCCCCUUGAAAUUCUGUAAUGCAGUGGUAAAAUAUACUGUAAGAUGUUGACCUAUAACACUUUAAGAUUAUUUGUAAAUAUGCUUCUUCAUAUUAUCUUGGGAGUUUAUGUAUGGUGAAUAAGUAAUUGAUAGAUUCUAAUAAUGGAUGAUAAAUAACAAUUGUUCUGAUUCUGUGUUCUUGGCAUUUUAAUUCAAAUGGGUAUGUUACUGAACUUCUUUGAAAUAUAUUAAAACAUUAAUAAAUAUUUGUCGAAUAUUUGUGAAUUGAUAUGUUAUGAUCCCUUUGAAAUUCUAUAAUGCAGUGGGAAAAUACACUGUGAGUUGUUUAUGUAUAACACUUUAAGCUUAUUUGUAAAUAUGCCUCUUUGUUUUAUCUGGUGAAUUUAUGUAUGGUGAGUAAGUGAUUGAUAUAUAGUAAUAAUGGUUGAUAUGUUGUAAUUCUUUUGAUUCUGUAUUCUUGGCAUUUUAAUUCAAAUGUGUGUGUUAUCAAAACUCUUUGAAAUUUCUCCAGGUAUAAAAUAAGAGGAUAGGAAUUAAAAAAAAAAACACUAAAAUUCCUUUUACACUGAUGAUUGUUGAAUGAGUACUUUGACCAUGCUUUAUCUGUAUAAAACUAUUAAGUAGAAUCAGAGAUGCCAGAGACCAUGCUCUUGAAGAUAUGCCAGAGACCACUCUUGAGGAUAUGCCAAGAGACCAUGUCCUUGAACAUUGCCAUGUCCUUGGACGCAGAGCUAAGAAGAUUAGCAUACACCCUAAAUUCCUGAGAUUAGAUAAUGUGUGUCCCAAGAAAUCGGUCAUCUCCGCCCAAAAUCUAGAUAACAGUAUACUCUAGGAUUUCCGCCACACCUAUGGUCCGACAUUCUUCUCAUUGUAACCCCCCACUCUGAAAUCCUAUUUAAUUAAACUCUCUUCAUUCAUUAAACAGAGACAUUCACCAUCUUAAA